rnacentral:rRNA from 1 species
UACGUAGGUGGCAAGCGUUGUCCGGAAUUAUUGGGCGUAAAGCGCGCGCAGGCGGUUCCUUAAGUCUGAUGUGAAAGCCCACGGCUCAACCGUGGAGGGUCAUUGGAAACUGGGGAACUUGAGUGCAGAAGAGGAAAGUGGAAUUCCAAGUGUAGCGGUGAAAUGCGUAGAGAUUUGGAGGAACACCAGUGGCGAAGGCGACUUUCUGGUCUGUAACUGACACUGAGGCGCGAAAGCGUGGGGAGCAAACAGG